AUGGCCAGCCGGCCUUUGACUUUUCUCUCACCCGGCUUAACUCUUCGUUUUCUAUUUCUUUCUGAAUCCCGGCCACCUGCACAGCCGGCCGCAAGGGUCGUUGGCGGGACGCAGCACGCGCGGGAGCUGGCGGGCGCGCGGGUGCCGGCCAGCGCAGGCGGCAAUCCGGCAGGUGCGCGGGGCAGGGGCCAGCCCGGGAGAGGCAACCCGCAGCCAGAGAUGGUCGGGCCGCGGCCAGCGCGGGAGCCGGCGGGGGCGCGCGGGGCGCAGCCGACCAUGGCACCCGACGCGCGAGGACCGCCACAGCAGGGGAGGAGGAGGCCGAGCCGGCGGCAGGGGAGGCCGGCUGCAGAGGGCAGCCGGCGCCGGGUUGCAGGCGGAACCAGGUGGGGGCGAGAGCCGGCCGGGGCGCCGAGCGGAGCUGCGGGCGCGCACGGGGCCGACUUGCAGGGCAAGACGAACGCGUCGACCUGGCGGGCGGGUGUGGAAGCGGAGCAGCCGGCGGGCGCGGGAGCCGGCUCGGGGAGUCGGAGCGGACGAGGGCGGGGAAGCCGGACGGAGGGUUGGACGGCGCGAGGACGGCGACGCGAGCCCGGGGCGGAGCCGGCACAGGACGCACAACCCAGCCUGCGGCUCGGGAACCCGGCAGAGCGUUGCGGAAGGCAGUCGGAGCAGGGCUGGCGCGGGAUGAGGCAGCGUGCUGGGGUGGAGCCGCAGGCGCACAGGAGCAGCCGGACCCGGCGCAGUGCGGAAGGAGCUGGACCUGGCUCUACGGGCGCAGGCGGCGACGGGCCACACUCGGCCAGGCGCGGGAACGGCCGGGAGCUGGGGCGCGGACGCGCGGCACUGGUGGUACGAGGUGGUGUUGGUCGGACUGGGGACGGCGCAGCCCGGGCUUGA
rnacentral:rRNA from 1 species